GGGUAGUGUCUAGGCGAUAAGUCAAGUACCGGGUGUUGGUCGAGGGCUUUGAACUAGAGCUAUUAUAGUGGAUUCAUUCCUGGAUUGGUAUCCCCCAGUGUAGGUGACGUUGCACUGAACUGGGUUAACAAACGAUCUGUGUUAUUUAUUAUUCUGUCGUUUAUUGCUUUAUUUUAUUCAGCGCCUGUCUUGCUGCAACAUAUGCU
rnacentral:lncRNA from 1 species